CGCGUAGGCGGUGAGAUAAGUCAGAUGUGAAAUUCCGGGGCUCAACCCCGGAGCUGCAUUUGAAACUAUCUCGCUAGAGGUCAGUUAGGGAAAACGGAAUUCCACGUGUAGCGGUGAAAUGCGUAGAUAUGUGGAAGAACACCAGUGGUGAAGACGGUUUUCUGGGCUGAUACUGACGCUGAGGCGCGAAAGCAAGGGGAGCAAAACA
rnacentral:rRNA from 1 species